AUGAUAGAAAAUCCACGUCAGGAUACAUGUUCACUCUCGCUGGAGGGGCUAUUUCAUGGAGAAGCUCCAAGCAAUGAUGUGAAGAUAAAAUAUUCCGAUUUGAUUCUUAUUAUUGGGGGUGAGCCAUCAAGCGUUGAGCUUGCUGCUAAAAUAGUUGUGAAUUAUCCAGACAAGAAGGUGACACUGGUUCAUGACAAACCAAGAUUGUUGGAAUCUUUAAUCGAUCUAGAGUCCAUGUCGGAGGGAGACAAGCUCUAUAGGACUUUGUCGGGGAUAGAGAUAAUAGCUGAUUGCCACUUCUCGUGCCUCGACAGACCACCAAGUUCAGCAUGGAUUAGAGAUUCUGAGCUGAAAGAUUGCUUGGACAAUGAUGGAAGAUUGAUGAUUGAUGCAAAUCUAAGAGUGAAAGGCCAAUAUAAUAAUUUUGCUGCUGGUGAUAUCAUUGACAUUCCGGAGCUGGAGCAAGGAUAUUUCGUGCAGAGGCAUGCAAUGAUAGUCUCCAAAAACAUAAAGCUUUUGAGAGCAUCUCCAACAGAGGCGCUAUAUAAGCCGUGCGCCGGAAAAGAUGAUGCCGUGGCACAAUUAUCCUUCGCGACGGUUCUAGGGCACCUUCCUGCGAUGUGGAUAUCCCGGGACUUGUUCGUGCACAGAACAAGGACUCUGCUGGGGCUUCCAUGGUGA
rnacentral:rRNA from 1 species